rnacentral:rRNA from 1 species
AGUGAACGCUGGCGGUAGGCCUAACACAUGCAAGUCGAACGGCAGCACAGUAAGAGCUUGCUCUUACGGGUGGCGAGUGGCGGACGGGUGAGGAAUACAUCGGAAUCUACUUUUUCGUGGGGGAUAACGUAGGGAAACUUACGCUAAUACCGCAUACGACCUACGGGUGAAAGCAGGGGAUCUUCGGACCUUGCGCGAUUGAAUGAGCCGAUGUCGGAUUAGCUAGUUGGCGGGGUAAAGGCCCACCAAGGCGACGAUCCGUAGCUGGUCUGAGAGGAUGAUCAGCCACACUGGAACUGAGACACGGUCCAGACUCCUACGGGAGGCAGCAGUGGGGAAUAUUGGACAAUGGGCGCAAGCCUGAUCCAGCCAUACCGCGUGGGUGAAGAAGGCCUUCGGGUUGUAAAGCCCUGUUGUUGGGAAAGAAAAGCAGCAGGUUAAUACCCCGCUGUUCUGACGGUACCCAAAGAGUAAGCACCGGCUAACUUCGUG